rnacentral:lncRNA from 1 species
CCACAAUUUUGAGACUACAGUGAGUUAUGAUUGAGCCACUGCACCCCAGCCUGGGCAACAGGGUGAGAACCUGUCUCCAAUUAAAAAAAAAAAAAAGUGAGGAAUUUAUUUUAAAAAAUAAAAUAAAAUAAUAAAAUCUGAGAUUUGUGGGAAGGAUCAUUUCCUGGGAAGUGGAAUCACUGAGAGAGAAAUUGAAGAACUGAUGUGGAAAAGAUGAGUCAUGAAGCUACAAGGAUAGACUUUUUGUUCUUAUGGUGUCCUAACUUUGUUGAUAAUUUGGAAAACACUGUUCACAUAAACAUAUUGUCACCACUGACUCACUGAGUUUUUUGGCAAGCCUUUUAGACCU